rnacentral:rRNA from 1 species
UACGAAGGGGGCUAGCGUUGUUCGGAAUCACUGGGCGUAAAGCGCACGUAGGCGGAUCCUUAAGUCAGGGGUGAAAUCCCGAGGCUCAACCUCGGAACUGCCUUUGAUACUGGGGAUCUUGAGUCCGGGAGAGGUGAGUGGAAUUGCGAGUGUAGAGGUGAAAUUCGUAGAUAUUCGCAAGAACGCCAGUGGCGAAGGCGGCUCACUGGCCCGGUACUGACGCUGAGGUGCGAAAGCGUGGGGAGCAAACAGG